GGCUGUGAGGGCAAUCUGCUGUGACAUCUGUCACCCCAUUGAUCACCAGGGUUGAUGUGGGUGAUCUGUCUGGCUAGGUGGGUGUCCCCUUCCUCCCUCCCUGCUCCAUAUGCAACCCUCCUUAAGCUGUGUGCUAGGUAGAGAGGACGACCACCUCACAUGGAGGAAAGCCAUUUCCUUAGUCAAGGGUGUAGGAGUAGCUGUGCUCCUCUGCUAGAAUCUCCAAAUGAAACCUGACCACCUUGGUGUCUAGGAGUCCUUCAGGCUACUUCCUGCACUUCCUGUUUGUAACA
rnacentral:snRNA from 1 species